AUUGAACGCUGGCGGCAGGCCUAACACAUGCAAGUCGAGCGGAGCGGCGGACGAGGGAGUGAUGCCUAGGAAUCUGCCUGGUAGUGAGGGAUAACGUCCGGAAACGGGCGCUAAUACCACAUACUAUCAGAGGCGUCUCGGGCGGAUUAGCUAGUUGGAGGGGUAACGGCAUACCAAGGCGAAGAUCCAUAACUGGUCUGAGAGGAUGAUCAGUCACACUGGAACUGAGACACGGUCCAGACUCCUACGGGAGGCAGCAGGGGGGAAUAUUGGACAAUGGGCGAAAGUCUGAUCCAGCCAUGCCGCGUGUGUGAAGAAGGUCUUCGGAUUGUAAAGCACUUUAAGUUGGGAGGCGGUACCAACAGAAUAAGCACCGGCUAACUACGUGCCAGCAGCCGCGGUAAUUC
rnacentral:rRNA from 1 species